rnacentral:rRNA from 1 species
GACGAACGCUGGCGGCGUGCUUAACACAUGCAAGUCGAACGAGGCCCCUCCUUCGGGAGGGUGUCCUAGUGGCGAACGGGUGAGUAACACGUGGGCAACCUGCCCCCGGCUCUGGGAUAACCCCAAGAAAUUGGGGCUAAUACCGGAUAUGACCGCCGACCGCAUGGUCGGUGGUGGAAAGUUUUUUCGGCUGGGGAUGGGCCCGCGGCCUAUCAGCUUGUUGGUGGGGUAGUGGCCUACCAAGGCGACGACGGGUAGCCGGCCUGAGAGGGUGACCGGCCACACUGGGACUGAGACACGGCCCAGACUCCUACGGGAGGCAGCAGUGGGGAAUAUUGCGCAAUGGGCGGAAGCCUGACGCAGCGACGCCGCGUGGGGGAUGACGGCCUUCGGGUUGUAAACCUCUUUCAGCAGGGACGAAGCGAAAGUGACGGUACCUGCAGAAGAAGCACCGGCCAACUACGUGCCAGCCGCCGCGGUAA